GGUUGGAUGGCCGAGCGGUCUAAGGCGCCAGACUAAGGACCAGCAUCCAAAGAUGCUCCUCUAACUAUCUGCAAUGGUGGUUAUCUGGUCCGAAAGGGCGUGGGUUCGAAUCCCACUCCAAUCA